GAUGAACGCUGGCGGCGCGCCUAACACAUGCAAGUCGAACGAUUAAAGAACAUUAGGGUGUGUAUACAGUGGCGAACGGCUGGGUAACACGUGGGCACCCUGCCCCUUUCAUUUUGAUAGCCACGGAAAAACGUGGACAUUCGCGAAUACUUCGAGACUUCUGCAUGGAAGACCCGAGAAAGUUCCGGCGGUGCGGGAUGGGCCCGCGGGCUGUCAGAUUGUUGGGGGGGUAACGGCCUACCGCGUCAAUGCUGGGUAGCUGGGAUGAGAGCCCGAACAGGCAGCAUGGGACUGAGACACGGCCCAGACGCGUACGGGAGACAGCAGUGGGGAAUCUGGCCCAGUGGGAGAACGUCUGUGGCGGCGACGCCGCGUGCGUAAUGAAGGCCUGCGGGUAGAAAACCGCUUUAAGCAAGUACGAGGCUAAAGUGACGGUACCUGCAGAAGAAGCCCCGGCUAACUACGUG
rnacentral:rRNA from 1 species